rnacentral:rRNA from 1 species
UACGUAGGGUGCGAGCGUUAAUCGGAAUUACUGGGCGUAAAGCGUGCGCAGGCGGUUUUGUAAGUCAGAUGUGAAAUCCCCGGGCUUAACCUGGGAACUGCAUUUGUGACUGCAUGGCUAGAGUGCGGCAGAGGGGGAUGGAAUUCCGCGUGUAGCAGUGAAAUGCGUAGAUAUGCGGAGGAACACCGAUGGCGAAGGCAAUCCCCUGGGCCUGCACUGACGCUCAUGCACGAAAGCGUGGGGAGCAAACAGG